rnacentral:lncRNA from 1 species
GAUGUUCCCUCCACCAAUUUAUUACCAGGCAAGAAUCAACUUUCGGUUUUAUGUUGAGAUUGUCAUCAACCGGGGGAGGGGUAGUAUUUUGGCCUCUACUUUCACCGGUUUUAGCUUUUUCUUUACCGAACAUAUUUUUCAACGAAAAUGCCAUAAUGAUUAGCACGUAAGAGUUGAAACGAGUUUACCGGAUUGACGAACAACUUCUUGAAAAUUGAAAA